ensembl:lncRNA
CUGUCGUUUCACCUCCCCGGUCUCUCGCAAAUGCUCGCACAGAAUCGGAGUUACAGCUGGAUGUGGAAAAAAUAACUGAGUUGUUUGGUGGUGCUAUAACGCGGAGCUACAACAGUGGGCAGCUAUCCACCGGUGUAUGACAGAAAGGACAUGCCGCGACCGCCGAUCGACCGGUGUUUGCUAACGCGGAGGUCAAUCGUGGAUCAGGGAAAGCGAAGGCAGGAGCGUGAGGUGAACUGAAUUUCAGUUAAGUU